rnacentral:ncRNA from 1 species
AAUUUAUCAAGAGUGGUGGAGGGAAUUGGCCCUACGAAGCCCUGCAACCUCAUCGAUAAUCGAUAAAGGUGCGAAAUCCAACAAUAGUGGAAGACUAUUGAUAGAUAAAUG